GACAGAGGGUGCAAACGUUGUUCGGAAUUACUGGGCGUAAAGCGCGUGUAGGCGGCUAAGUAAGUCGGGCGUGAAAUCCCACGGCUCAACCGUGGAAGUGCACUCGAAACUGCAUAGCUAGAGUCCUGGAGAGGAAGGUGGAAUGCUUGGUGUAGAGGUGAAAUUCGUAGAUAUCAAGCGGAACACCGGUGGCGAAGGCGGCCUUCUGGACAGUGACUGACGCUGAGACGGCGAAAAGCGUGGGGAGCAAACAGG
rnacentral:rRNA from 1 species